rnacentral:rRNA from 1 species
GACGUAGGGCGCGAGCGUUGUCCGGAUUUAUUGGGCGUAAAGAGCUCGUAGGCGGCUUGUCGCGUCGACUGUGAAAACCCGCGGCUCAACUGUGGCUUGCAGUCGAUACGGGCAGGCUGGAGUUCGGUAGGGAGACUGGAAUUCCUGGUGUAGCGGUGAAAUGCGUAGAUAUCUGGAGGAACACCGGUGGCGAAGGCGGCAUCCUGGACCGGUAUUGACACUGAGGCGCGAAAGCCAGGGAGCAAACGGGG